ACCUGACUGCUAUCGGAUUGAUACUAAGCCAUGCGAGUCUUUGCAGUAAUGCAAGGCAUACGGCUCAGUAACACGUAGUCAACUUACCCUAUGGACGAGGAUAAUCUCGGGAAACUGAGCAUAAUACUCGAUAGAUCAUAAUGCCUGGAAUGGUUUAUGGUUGAAAUGAUUCGUCGCCAUAGGAUAGGACCGCGGCCUAUCAGCUUGUUGGUGAGGUAAUGGCCCACCAAGGCGAUUACAGGUACGGGCUCUGAGAGGAGAAGCCCGGAGAUGGGUACUGAGACAAGGACCCAGGCCCUAUGGGGCGCAGCAGGCGAGAAAACUUUGCAAUGUGCGAAAGCACGACAAGGUUAAUCCGAGUGAUUUCUGCUAAAGAAAUCUUUUGCAAGUCAUAAAACCACUAGUGAAUAAGGGGUGGGCAAGUUCUGGUGUCAGCCGCCGCGGUAAAACCAGCACCUCAAGUGGUCAGGAGGAUUAUUGGGCCUAAAGCAUCCGUAGCCUGCUCUGUAAGUUUUCGGUUAAAUCCAUGUGCUCAACGCAUGGGCUGCCGAAAAUACUGCAUAGCUAGGGAGUGGGAGAGGUAGACGGUACUCGGUAGGAAGGGGUAAAAUCCUUUGAUCUAUCGAUGACCACCUGUGGCGAAGGCGGUCUACCAGAACACGUUCGACGGUGAGGGAUGAAAGCUGGGGGAGCAAACCGGAUUAGAUACCCGGGUAGUCCCAGCUGUAAACGAUGCAAACUCAGUGAUGCAUUGGCUAGUGGCCAAUGCAGUGCUGCAGGGAAGCCGUUAAGUUUGCCGCCUGGGAAGUACGUACGCAAGUAUGAAACUUAAAGGAAUUGGCGGGGGAGCACCACAAGGGGUGAAGCCUGCGGUUC
rnacentral:rRNA from 1 species